rnacentral:rRNA from 1 species
UGAGUAACACGUGGGCAACCUGCCUUAUAGAGGGGAAUAGCCUUCCGAAAGGAAGAUUAAUACCGCAUAACAUUGCACUUUCGCAUGGGAGAGUAAUUAAAGGAGCAAUCCGCUAUAAGAUGGGCCCGCGGCGCAUUAGCUAGUUGGUGAGGUAACGGCUCACCAAGGCGACGAUGCGUAGCCGACCUGAGAGGGUGAUCGGCCACAUUGGGACUGAGACACGGCCCAGACUCCUACGGGAGGCAGCAUG